rnacentral:rRNA from 1 species
AUUGAACGCUGGCGGCAGGCCUAACACAUGCAAGUCGAGCGGGGCGGCGGGCGGGUGAGUGAUGCCUAGGAAUCUGCCUGGUAGUGAGGGAUAACGACCGGCAACGGGCGCUGAUACCUCCUACUAUCCGCUGAGGCUAGGUCGGAUUAGCUAGUUGGUGGGGUAAAGGCUUACCAAGGCGACGAUCCGUAACUGGUCUGAGGGGAUGAUCAGUCACACUGGAACUGAGACAAGGUCCGGACUCCGACGGGAGGCAGCAGAGGGGAAUGGUUGACAAGGGGCGGAGGCGUGACCCAGCCAUGCAGCGUGUGUGAAGAAGGGCCGCGGAUUGUAAAGCACUGUAAGUUGGGAGGCAUUACCAAAAGAGAAAGCACCGGCUAACUACGUGCCAGCAGCCGCGGUAAUUC